UUAUUACUAUUAUUAUGUUCUAAUUAGAUUGAAAAAAAAUAUCACGUCCGUGAGUCAUAACGGUUAAAAGUACCUACCCAUACCAUAGAGAGACCGCAAAUGAACGCUAUAAAUAAUUCAAUUAAACGUUUUGGUCGAGCUUGAAAAAGUAAUAGGUAUUAUGUUUCUCGCGUUCAUCAUAUACGGUAUAUUUAUGGGGCUGU